rnacentral:rRNA from 1 species
GUGGGGAAUUUUGGACAAUGGGCGCAACCCUGAUCCAGCCAUGCCGCGUGCGGGAAGAAGGCCUUCGGGUUGUAAACCGCUUUUGUCAGGGAAGAAAUCCUUUGGGUUAAUACCUCGGAGGGAUGACGGUACCUGAAGAAUAAGCACCGGCUAACUACGUGCCAGCAGCCGCGGUAAUACGUAGGGUGCGAGCGUUAAUCGGAAUUACUGGGCGUAAAGCGUGCGCAGGCGGUUUUGUAAGAUCGAUGUGAAAUCCCCGGGCUCAACCUGGGAACUGCAUUGGAGACUGCAAGGCUGGAGUGCGGCAGAGGGGGAUGGAAUUCCGCGUGUAGCAGUGAAAUGCGUAGAUAUGCGGAGGAACACCGAUGGCGAAGGCAAUCCCCUGGGCCUGCACUGACGCUCAUGCACGAAAGCGUGGGGAGCAAACAGGAUUAGAAACCCCUGUAGUCC